CGCUUCUUUCCUCCCGAGUGCUUGCACUCAAUUGGAAAGAGGAGUGGCGGACGGGUGAGUAACACGUGGGUAACCUGCCCAUCAGAGGGGGAUAACACUUGGAAACAGGUGCUAAUACCGCAUAACAGUUUAUGCCGCAUGGCAUAAGAGUGAAAGGCGCUUUCGGGUGUCGCUGUUGGAUGGACCCGCGGUGCAUUAGCUAGUUGGUGAGGUAACGGUUCACCAAGGCCACGAUGCAUAGCCGACCUGAGAGGGUGAUCGGCCACACUGGGACUGAGACACGGCCCGGACUCCUACGGGAGGCAGCAGUAGGGAAUCUUCGGCAAUGGACGAAAGUCUGACCGAGCAACGCCGCGUGAGUGAAGAAGGUUUUCGGAUCGUAAAACUCUGUUGUUAGAGAAGAACAAGGACGUUAGUAACUGAACGUCCCCUGACGGUAUCUAACCAGAAAGCCACGGCUAACUACGUGCCAGCAGCCGCGGUAAUACGUAGGUGGCAAGCGUUGUCCGGAUUUAUUGGGCGUAAAGCGAGCG
rnacentral:rRNA from 1 species